UAGCGACAGGCCUAACACAUGCAAGUCGAGGGGCGAGCACAAGGAGCAAUCUGAGGUGGCGACCGGCGCACGGGUGAGUAACACGUAUGCAACCUGCCUGUAAGCGGGGAAGUAACCCGUUGAAAGACGGACUAAUACCGCAUAAUACUAAAUUACUGCAUGGUAAUUUAUUUAAACAUUUAUGGCUUACAGAUGGGCAUGCGCAUGAUUAGCUAGUUGGAGAGGUAACGGCUCCCCAAGGCAACGAUCAUUAGGGGUUCUGAGAGGAAGGUCCCCCCACACUGGUACUGAGACACGGACCAGACUCCUACGGGAGGCAGCAGUGAGGAAUAUUGGUCAAUGGACGAGAGUCUGAACCAGCCAAGUCGCGUGCAGGAAGAAUUGUCCUAUGGAUUGUAAACUGCUUUUGCAGGGGAAUAAAGUGCAUCACGUGUGAUGUUUUGUAUGUACUCUGCGAAUAAGGAUCGGCUAACUCCGUGCCAGCCGCCGC
rnacentral:rRNA from 1 species